UUUCCUGACAACGGCUGUCAGUUUCAUGACUAACUUUACUAGGAUAAACAUACGGCGUUUCACGACAUUCCUUGUUUUGUGAGAAUAAAGAUUCUCUUUGUACUGAAUCUGGUGACAAGUUCAUAUUUAUGACCCAAAGUGGGAAAAUGUGUAUUUGAGUCUUGUGAAUGUGCAUUCAUUCUGGACAUUGAUGGGUCUAAUUGUGUGUUAUCUGUACGGAUAUUUGUGUUCCUUUUUUCCGACUUUAAAG
rnacentral:lncRNA from 1 species